UACGUAGGGUGCAAGCGUUAAUCGGAAUUACUGGGCGUAAAGCGUGCGCAGGCGGCUUUGCAAGACAGAUGUGAAAUCCCCGGGCUCAACCUGGGAACUGCAUUUGUGACUGCAUGGCUAGAGUACGGUAGAGGGGAUGGAAUUCCGCGUGUAGCAGUGAAAUGCGUAGAGUAUGCGGAGGAACACCGAUGGCGAAGGCAAUCCCCUGGACCUGUACUGACGCUCAUGCACGAAAGCGUGGGGAGCAACAGG
rnacentral:rRNA from 1 species